UACGGGGGGAGCAAGCGUUGUUCGGAUUUACUGGGCGUAAAGGGCGCGUAGGCGGCGCAACAAGUCACUUGUGAAAUCUCCGGGCUUAACCCGGAGCGGUCAAGUGAUACUGUCGUGCUAGAGUGCGGAAGGGGCUACUGGAAUUCUCGGUGUAGCGGUGAAAUGCGUAGAUAUCUGGAGGAACACCGGUGGCGAAGGCGGCAUCCUGGACCGGUAUUGACACUGAGGCGCGAAAGCCAGGGGAGCAAACGGG
rnacentral:rRNA from 1 species